rnacentral:rRNA from 1 species
GAUGUGAUUUUCCUGAGAAUGGAAAAUGUCGAAAGAGCAAGGUUUCCUUGGCAAUAUAAGUUAGCCAAGGGUUAGUCAGUACCUUAGGCAUAUCUUAAUCGAGUAUGCUGAUGGACGGCAGGUUAAUAUUCCUGCACUGAUUGUAUUUUACAUAAUAUAAUCGCUUCCGGAUAGAUAAGCAUUCGAAAGAAUGUUUUAACAGAGAAAUUUAUUUAGUGUAAUGCAGAGAUGUAAAUGAAUUUGUUAAAGAAAUUGUCGAGUCCAGGAGCCAGUGAAAAAAUUAUAUUCUUAAUACAACAACUGUACCCAUAACCGACACUGGUGCUCUAGCUGAGAAGGCUAAGACAUGAAAGGCUAAACCAAUUAAGGGAAUUCGGCAUAUUAGUCCUGUAGCUUCGGCUUAAGGGAUGUCUAUCUUUGUUUUUUCAGAAAUGUAAGAGCAGAGUUAGAUCUCAGUAACAAAGACGGCCCGACUGUUUACCAAAAACGUAACCAAUUGCUAAUCUGAAAAGACUUGUAUAAUUGGUGAGACCUGCCCAGUCGCGGUGUUUCAAACUCCUGUUCAAGGGAGCUAAGACCCGUGAAACGGCGGGGGUAACUAUGACCCUCUUAAGGUAGCGUAAUGCCUUGUCAUCUGAAUGGUGACGUGCAUGAAUGGUUUAACGAGGUUGUCACUGUCCCUAAUUGGAACCUUCUGAAAAUACUUUGUGGUGAAAAUGCCACGGACACCUAGUGGGAAGCGAUGACCUUGUGGAACUUUACUGCAACUUGUUGUUGUGAUUCUAACGAAAAUGCAUAGCAUAAGUAGGAGCGUCGAGGCAGCCAUUUUGGUGACUGCGGAGCGAACUUGUAAUACUACUCACUUUUUUUAGACUUGCUUACCCUUUAUGGGGACAGCAACUGGCGGGCAGUUUGACUGGGGCGGUGCCCUGUCGAAAAUGUAUCGAUAGGACCCAACGAUGAGCUCAUCCAGCUUGGAAAUCUGGAGUUGAGUGCGAGGGCAAAAGCUCAUCUGAUUGUAUUCUGAAAAGCAAGGAAUACAAGGAGGAAACUCGGGCCUAGAGAACCCACGUACUUUUUUAAUAGGAGUCGUGUCUGAUAGAAAAGUUACCCCAAGGAUAACAGGCUUGUCGCGCCCGAUAGUCCAUAUUGACGGCGCGGUUUGGUACAUCGCUGUCGGCUCUACCUAUCCUAGCCGUGCAGAAGCGGCUAAGGGUGUCGGAGUUCACGCAUUAAAAGGUAUCGUUAGCUGGGUUAAGAACGUCGCGAGACAGUUUGUAUGAUAUCUACUAGGUGUGUUGUUGAGUGAGUGGAACGAAUCUCUAGUACGAGAGGAACGGGAUUUGGACGCCUCUGGUGAGCAGUUGUCAUAUGGCAGGCUGCAUAGCUACGCGUUGUAUGGAUAAGAGCUGAAUGCAUCUAAGCUCGAAACCAUCCGCAAAACGACUCAACUAAAGCCGUCAAAGAAGAUGACGUCGAUAGAGUUCGUGUGUAAGAUUCAAGCUUCGCCGAGAAUUUCAGCAUAGAACUACUAAAAGCUUUAAUUAUGUUUUU